GUGAAUGACACCACAUGCUGGGGGCAUUUCCAGAGCUCUGCCGUGCCGGGUGUGUCUGAACGUGUCAAGCUUGAGUCUUUCCAGUAAUUACAUAUGGUGAGCGCAGGGGGUACCUGCAACACAAUCCCCUCAGUCGGAUAGCUCUGCAUUACAACACACUGAUAUUAUUUCAGAUGGAUUGACUUUCAUUUACCCCUUAUACAAUUACUGAACCCAGACCACCAGCUGACGCUCAAACAACAGGACGAAAUGUGAUCUUUUCCUGAAGCUGUCUGUGUGUCACAAAGGCUCAUCGAAACCGGUGCAGUGCCUCAUUAAUGCCACAAGGGGGGC
ensembl:lncRNA